rnacentral:rRNA from 1 species
UUCCGGUUGAUCCCGCCGGAGGCCAUUGCUAUCGGUGUCCGAUUUAGCCAUGCGAGUCGCACGUUCAACGUGGCGAACGGCUCAGUAACACGUGGUCAAACUACCCUACGGACCGUGAUAACCUCGGGAAACUGAGGCUAAUAACGGAUGUCGCUCCCGAGCUGGGAUGCUGGGAGCGAUAAAGCUCCGGCGCCGUAGGAUGUGACUGCGGCCGAUUAGGUAGACGGUGGGGUAAUGGCCCACCGUGCCGAUAAUCGGUACGGGUUGUGAGAGCAAGAACCCGGAGACGGACUCUGAGACAAGAGUCCGGGCCCUACGGGGCGCAGCAGGCGCGAAACCUUUACACUGCACGCAAGUGCGAUAGGGGGACACCGAGUGCGAGGGCAUAGAGCCCUCGCUUUUGUGCAUCGUAAGGUGGUACACGAAUAAGGGCUGGGCAAGACCGGUGCCAGCCGCCGCGGUAACACCGGCAGCCCGAGUGAUGGCCGCUUUUAUUGGGCCUAAAGCGUCCGUAGCCGGCCGUUCAGGUCCGUCGGGAAAUCCACUGGCUCAACCAGUGGGCGUCCGGCGGAAACCGAUCGGCUUGGGACAGGGAGACCAGAGGGGUACGUCCGGGGUAGGAGUGAAAUCCUGUAAUCCUGGACGGACCACCGGUGGCGAAAGCGCCUCUGGAGAACUGAUCCGACGGUGAGGGACGAAAGCUGGGGUCUCGAACCGGAUUAGAUACCCGGGUAGUCCCAGCUGUAAACAAUGCUCGCUAGGUGUGUCGCAGGCUACGAGCCUGCGAUGUGCCGUAGGGAAGCCGAGAAGCGAGCCGCCUGGGAAGUACGUCCGCAAGGAUGAAACUUAAAGGAAUUGGCGGGGGAGCACUACAACCGAAGGAGCCUGCGGUUUAAUUGGAUUCAACGCCGG